UAAUUAAUCAUUUAUUUUUAAACGUUAUGUAAGUCUAUUUUAAUUGUAAGAAUCCAUGUGCUAUUUUAUUUAAAGCUAACUUAUAGGUGAAUAUUUACACAAUAUUGUUGUUAUGUUGUAAAUAAAACAUAUUAUAUUCCCUCCAGCCUGUGCAGGGUAUUUCUAAAGUGAUAAUUUUCUCAUGCAGGCCAAUACCACUCUUUUGUUAUCUAAGAUGUAUAUUUCAAGAAGAAAUGAUGCUUUCUUAUUUCUAAGAGUUUAUCAAUAGGAUGAAUGCCACAAAACUCACUUGUUAUGACAGAAACUCUUCCUACGAAACUUCCAUACUAGAAUUUGUCCAGUGCCUGUGAUCCUCUGAGUUGAAGGAGAAUGUGCUCCAUAAUACCUACUAGGAGCUUGCUGAUAGCUGGAAGUUCAUGAAUACUAUGUUGUCCUUGAUUUGAUGAUUCUGAAAACUACCAUUUC